CAGACAGACAGUGAGGUCCCCAGGAUCAGGACAAAGGGCUGGGGUUGGAAAGGCCAGACUGCUCCUCCCCAAGCCAGCUGAGCAGCAUUUGAACAGCUCCUGCACUUCCUUGAGGAUGCUCUCUCAGUUACAACUGCCCAGAAAUUAAGUUCAGCAGACCUGCAGUAGUUCACAACACAAGGCACAGGAACAUCUCACAUACAGUUGAGGUUUGCUGCUUCCUGACAAGAGCCCAGGCAGGUGCAGGUCUUGCUCUACAUGCCAUGGCUUACAGAGCACACAGGGAAACGAAUCACCUCAACAGGCUAGUUCAGUGCAAUCACUUAGAGAUCAAGGCUGACUUUACACUAGAGACCCCAGCAAGAGCAGUAAGAGCUGGACAUGUAUGGCAGGGACCAGUUGGCUGAAAGUUGGAGCAGACCCCUCCAAGCUACUCUCACAAACACCCAGGUAUUAAGAUAAGCACACUCUGGAAACAAAGCUUGAAGAGAUAACUGGAAGCCCUGAAAGAAGGACAAUGCUAUUCCCUGUGGGGAAGCAAAGACAGCCACAUAAUGAAGCUGCCUGCUUGGGAUGCUGCUCUGGUCUCUUGAGGAUAGGUUCAAGUAUGUGCUUUAAAAUUAAUUUGUUUGUUAUUUCUGUAAUGCAUCCUUAUUUCUAGCCACUGAACAUAAAAAUAGCUUAAUUCACUCUUUUCUCUAAAUCAGAGCCAUUCCUGUUGGGUAAACGACCCUGAAAUGCAAUUUACACUGACAGUAUAAAGCAGCCCUACAGCAAACACACACCUAACCCUUCACAUUCCCUCCAAUGCUCAGAAACAAUAAACCAGCUAUUUAUGAAACUGAAA